rnacentral:snRNA from 1 species
AGCUUUGCGCAGUGGCAGUAUCGUAGCCAAUGAGGUUUAUCCGAGGUGUGAUUAUUGCUAAUUGAAAACUUUUCUCAAAGACAUAUAUGCGUUAAUUCAUUUACUACUUACUGCUAAAGU